GACGUAGGAGGCGAGCGUUGUCCGGAUUCAUUGGGCGUAAAGAGCUCGUAGGCGGUGUGUCGCGUCGGCCGUGAAAACCUGCAGCUUAACUGUGGGCUUGCGGUCGAUACGGGCAUCACUGGAGUUCGGCAGGGGAGACUGGAAUUCCUGGUGUAGCGGUGAAAUGCGCAGAUAUCAGGAGGAACACCGGUGGCGAAGGCGGGUCUCUGGGCCGAUACUGACGCUGGAGGAGCGAAA
rnacentral:rRNA from 1 species